AACGCAUGGCAAAUGACACCAUUUUAAUUGCACGCAACUAAGUACUUCCUUUACCAACUAAGCAAAUUAGAUGUAAGAUAGUCAGGAUUGACCCAUUAACGCCAAAAUUAUAACCCGAGCUCAAAAUAGGACACUGGGCAUUACGGUUAUCGUAAUUGUAAUUGCAGUUUUAGAGGUAUCUAAACUAAGCUAAGAUGCCACCAUCCAAAGGAGGAGCAGAUCUGCUAGAGAGUUUAGUGACUAAUACAUAAAUAAUGUUAGUAAUGUUCUAAAGAAUCUAAAGUAGCACACAUGAGGGAAAAGUUGAAACAAGCACAAUUAAACUCGUAAUUAAAAAUAUACACAAUCAA
rnacentral:lncRNA from 1 species